rnacentral:rRNA from 1 species
UAUUGCACAAUGGGCGAAAGCCUGAUGCAGCAACGCCGCGUGAGCGAUGAGGGGCUUCGGUUCGUAAAGCUCUGUCCUCAAGGAAGAGAAUGACGGUACUGGAGGAGGAAGCCCCGGCUAACUACGUGCCAGCAGCCGCGGUAAUACGUAGGGGGCUAGCGUUAUCCGGAAUUACUGGGCGUAAAGGGUGCGUAGGUGGUUUCUUAAGUCAGAGGUGAAAGGCUACGGCUCAACCGUAGUAAGCCUUUGAAACUGGGGAACUUGAGGGCAGGAGAGGAGAGUGGAAUUCCUAGUGUAGCGGUGAAAUGCGUAGAUAUUAGGAGGAACACCAGUUGCGAAGGCGGCUCUCUGGACUGUAACUGACACUGAGGCAGGAAAGCGUGGGGAGCAAACAAG